GAUGAACGCUAGCGGCAGGCUUAACACAUGCAAGUCGAGGGGUAGAAGUUGCUUGCAACUUUGAGACCGGCGCACGGGUGCGUAACGCGUAUGCAAUCUACCUUGUACAGGGGGAUAGCCCAGAGAAAUUUGGAUUAAUACCCCAUAGUGUAAUUGAAUGGCAUCAUUUGAUUACUAAAGUUCCAACGGUACAAGAUGAGCAUGCGUCCUAUUAGCUAGUUGGUGUGGUAACGGCAUACCAAGGCAACGAUAGGUAGGGGUCCUGAGAGGGAGAUCCCCCACACUGGUACUGAGACACGGACCAGACUCCUACGGGAGGCAGCAGUGAGGAAUAUUGGUCAAUGGGCGCAAGCCUGAACCAGCCAUGCCGCGUGCAGGAAGAAGCAUCUAUGGUGUGUAAACUGCUUUUGUACGGGAAGAAACACUCCUACGUGUAGGAAUUUGACGGUACCGUAAGAAUAAGGAUCGGCUAACUCCGUGCCAGCAGCCGCAGUAACAC
rnacentral:rRNA from 1 species